rnacentral:rRNA from 1 species
GAUGAACGCUGGCGGCGUGCCUAAUACAUGCAAGUCGAGCGAACAGACGAGGAGCUUGCUCCUCUGACGUUAGCGGCGGACGGGUGAGUAACACGUGGAUAACCUACCUAUAAGACUGGGAUAACUUCGGGAAACCGGAGCUAAUGCCGGAUAAUAUAUUGAACCGCAUGGUUCAAUAGUGAAAGACGGUUUUGCUGUCACUUAUAGAUGGAUCCGCGCCGCAUUAGCUAGUUGGUAAGGUAACGGCUUACCAAGGCAACGAUGCGUAGCCGACAUGAGAGGCUGAUCGGGCACACUAGAACGGAGGCGCGGUCCAGACUCCUACGGGAGGCAGCAGUAGGGACUCUUCCGCAAUGGGCGAAAGCUUGACGGAGCAACGCCGCGUGAGUGAUGAAGGUCUUCGGAUCGUAAAACUCUGUUAUUAGGGAAGAACAAAUGUGUAAGUGACUAUGCACGUCUUGACGGUACCUAAUCAGAAAGCCACGGCUAACUACGUG